UUUGGGGAGGUGAUCAGAACGCUCUGAAAUCUGAAUACUGGUAUCUUUUGAUAUUGUUCAACGCGAAUCGAACUAAAAAAUGAAGACUUGCGCUCUGCUCGUUGUUUUGGUGCUGGCUGCAGUAGUUGUUCAAGAGACAAAUGCUGGCCUUGCUGAUGCCGUGUCCUCCCUGGCCGCUACCUGUACAUGCUGCGGUAAUACCUGCUCCGGCGUCUCCUGUACCUGCAGUGGGUGUGACUGCGUAGCCAGUGACAAAUUGACUAGGGCACUUAACUAUAGAAGGGCUUAAAGGAUUCCAGGUUUGAAACAAGUCGUCACCGUGCAAGAUAGCAAGACUCAACCUUGGAAUACUGCAUUAACAGAAUGAUUGUGCUCACUUCAACCGGUUGAAUAAACGAUAAUUGAGAACUUGUGCGAAAAUUAUAAUUCAAAACAAGAAAGAUAUUAUAAUAAAAUACAUUUAUAUAAACUUC